GUGGAAUUCUCCUCAGAUGAGACGGAGUCCAGUGGGCAGAGGGGCAACUUAGCAUCCUCUCUUUCCCCAUGUUACCACGAUGCUCUUGGCAGGGACCAUUUGAUGGGGAUUCGGAUGUCUUCCUGGGGUGCCUUGUAUGACCUCUGAAAAUAUGACCUGAAGCAGAUGGAUGCACUCACAUAAGAAACAUCACCUGUGGCCUUCAUCGAAAAUGGGCCUGCUGCUUGAAGAAGUUGGGCUCUUGGAGUUCUCUAGCACAGGGGCCAUGAAAAUCAAUGACUUCCUUGUUUGCUGACGGAGCAGAGGUAGAAUCUCUUGGUGUUUCCACGGAGAAAACACUGACCAUGAAGAGCCAAGAAAGAUGACAUGAUGAAGCCAUCAGGGGAAGCACCAAACAUCCUCAACUCUGCUCACCCAUGGUUUUCUCCCGCCCUCCCAGAGCUCCUCCUGCUGGCCUUCAUUGGCAUCACCAGCACUGGAGCUAUUCCAGUGAGGAUUUUUGCUGCGGCACAUCACGGAGUGGCAUGAGAGGUCAGAGAACUCCUAGUAUCCCCCAAAUAUCCAUUCUGUUCUUCUUCCUUAGUGAUGGGCCCCCGACAUGAAACUGGCACUCAGAAUGAAGAAUGCCUUUUCCAGCCUCCCUCGCUGGUGGAGUCUCCGUGUUCCAGCCAAUGAAGUAGGGCAUGCAGUUGCCUGCCCCACUGAAGUCAACUUCAGCCUGAAG
rnacentral:lncRNA from 10 species